rnacentral:rRNA from 1 species
CCCGGCGACCGGCGCACGGUGAGUAACACGUAUGGAACCUGCCCGCAGCAGGGGGAUAAGCGGAAGAAAUUCCGUCUAAUACCGCGUAACACCGCAGAGGGGCAUCCCUCGGCGGUUAAAGAUUCAUCGGCUGCGGAUGGCCAUGCGGCGCAUUAGCUAGUCGGCGGGGUAACGGCCCACCGAGGCGACGAUGCGUAGGGGUUCUGAGAGGAAGGUCCCCCACACUGGUACUGAGACACGGACCAGACUCCUACGGAAGGCAGCAG